rnacentral:rRNA from 1 species
AGUGAACGCUGGCGGUAGGCCUAACACAUGCAAGUCGAACGGCAGCACAGUAAGAGCUUGCUCUUACGGGUGGCGAGUGGCGGACGGGUGAGGAAUACAUCGGAAUCUACUUUUUCGUGGGGGAUAACGUAGGGAAACUUACGCUAAUACCGCAUACGACCUACGGGUGAAAGCAGGGGAGCUUCGGACCUUGCGCGAUUGAAUGAGCCGAUGUCGGAUUAGCUAGUUGGCGGGGUAAAGGCCCACCAAGGCGACGAUCCGUAGCUGGUCUGAGAGGAUGAUCAGCCACACUGGAACUGGGACACGGUCCAGACUCCUACGGGAGGCAGCAGUGGGGAAUAUUGGACAAUGGGCGAAAGCCUGAUCCAGCCAUACCGCGUGGGUGAAGAAGGCCUUCGGGUUGUAAAGCCCUUUUGUUGGGAAAGAAAAGCAGCAGGUUAAUACCCCGCUGUUCUGACGGUACCCAAAGAAUAAGCACCGGCUAACUUCGUG